rnacentral:lncRNA from 1 species
GUGUUUGGAGCUGGAGACGGCCUGGGUGCUGGCGAAGCGGAGGCCGGAGUUAAUACACGAGGAACUCAUGCAAAGGAGGGGACUUUCGGAAAUCCAAACUUAGAGUGCCUUGUAUUUAGAAUCCGGAAGGAAAAGGAAAUGAAAUGUGAAGAAACUCAUGCACCAAACUCGAACUGGGUAUAUGUGAUGUUACCUAGUAAGAAGACUGUUAGAAUGCCCUCGGUAACACAGAGGCUGAGAGAUCCUGACAUAAAUCCUUGUUUGUCGAUCCUGUUCUACCUUUUAAAUGAUGCCUCUCUUAUAUCUGUAAGGAAUCUGAUGCUUCCACCAGAUGUCUGGAUGAAAAUAACUAUGACAGGGAAAGGUGUUCCACUUACUUCUUGAGCCGUGAAAGAUCCUUGAGAGCUCUUGUUAGCUGCCUCGUCGUCCUCUAAGCUAUAAGAAUGCAGUUUUAAUAUAGAAUUCUAUCGUGAUGCAGAGAAGAAAGAACGGAGUGAAGCCAUUUAUGCCUACGGCAGCAGAAAGAGAUGAAAUCUUGAGAGCAGUGGGAAAUAUGCCC